ensembl:lncRNA
GAAAGCUGGUAGAAACUGCUGUCAUCACACACCUGGAGAGAUCAGGUGGAGUCUGUUAGAGUAGAUAAAAGGAAUUUGAGAAGGGCAGGAGAGGCAGAUGGGGGGUGGGUGUGGGAGCAGCUGGCAAGAGGAAUGGGUGAACUCCAAGAGGAGCAAGCAGGAAGAUGUGGGAGAUGGAUACAUUGGAUUUGAAAGGAUGGCACACAGUCCCAAGCUGCCCUAUCUGAAUGUGUCAUCCCUUCCUGCCUCUCUGUGCUCUGCCACUUCCCCACGACAUCGUGAUUGGAAUUAGAAUAAACCCAUAGAAGAGGAGAAGAGUCCUUCAGGAUAUUUGCUCGUCUCGAAGCAAGUGGUGGAGGGAGAGAUCUCAACAACUCUUGACAUGGCCACAAGUGCCCUGUGCUGUGAUGCAUUGUCCCUUGCACCUCUCAGCGUUU